rnacentral:lncRNA from 1 species
GCGGCCGCAGAUCCCGGCAACUUGCGAGCCGGGAAAAGUUUGCGGCGCCUCCGCGGGGCGGCGCGGCGCGGCGCGUCCCGCCCCUCGCGUCCGCGGUCACCGCGGGUGACUUUCUCGACUCGUCGUCAGCCGGGGCCGCAGCGCGGCCGGCGGGGACUGCGGGGAGGGCCGGAGUCCGUCCGAGGGCUCCCGCACCUCGGGCUGCGGCACCAGACAUGUUGGCAUCAUCUCUUAGUUGGGCCCUGUGGCCAGGGAACCCCUCAUGAAACCACCUCUGCAGUCCUGGAGAGUUGCUGUAGAAGAAGGAAAAGAGAGGAAGACAACACAACGCAGGAGGGGAUAAGUACCUCUGGACACAAUGGAAGUAGUAGUUGUUGAGCAGAGGGAAAGGGAUAGGGGAAGGAUGUGGACUGCAGUGCUGCAGUGCCAGGUAAUAACUUUGAUCAUGUACCUCCU